UUGGUUUAAAAUUUGACAGUUGUAUUUUUUUGAUUCCGAAUCUUAACCUUACUUUACAGGUGAUUUGAUUAUGUACAAAAAAUGUACAAUGUAAAUAAAUUGAACCAAGUAAUGUACUAAAAUAUGCUAUGUUAUAAUUUAAAACUCGUUAUGUUAGUCUUUUGAAAAAAAUUAAACUCAAAAGAGAUAUACUUGUUUACAGUGCAAAUUAAUGGCAAUAAUAGGGAUUUACGAUUUAAUUUGCAGGAAAAACAUGGGCAACCUACCCAGUUGGUAAAAUUUCAAUUCAAAAACUCUUUAGAUUUUACUGUGUGGAUGUCACAGGAAGAGAAACAAAAUAAUAUUCAGUCACAGGAGUACAAGAACAUGAAACA